UACGGGGGGGGCAAGCGUUGUUCGGAAUUACUGGGCGUAAAGGGCUCGUAGGUGGCCAACUAAGUCGGACGUGAAAUCCCUCGGCUUAACCGGGGAACUGCAUCCGAUACUGGAUGGCUUGAGUUCGGGAGAGGGAUGCGGAAUUCCUGGUGUAGCGGUGAAAUGCGCAGAUAUCAGGAGGAACACCGGUGGCGAAGGCGGGUCUCUGGGCCGAUACUGACGCUGAGGAGCGAAAGCGUGGGGAGCGAACAGG
rnacentral:rRNA from 1 species